rnacentral:lncRNA from 1 species
AACCAUGUUAUGACUUCAAUAAAGCUUAAAAUGAAAAGGACAUUGAAACAAGAAAAUUCCACUUGAAUCAUUAACACAAACGUAUUCAAUAACCAUAACAGACAUUCAAACAACAUAUAAUGUAGAGCAUUACAACAAAAGCAUUGAUACUAACUAGAAAAAGAGACAGACCUUUGAAAUUUACAGUUCUACAGCCAGAAAAUCAUGCAAGAAACUAGACCCAGAUGGAACCUCGCGCGAUUUUGAAGCACAACUCCAACUGAUUUUACAAUUCAAAUGCUCAGGACGUUUUGAAGCUCACAAACAAUGGGAAUGCAACCAGAACCUCGGCAGGCGAUGAACUCGUUGAGCUUCGUCAGAGAAAACUCAAAUCGUGCCGACAAACUUGAACUCUACAUCGACCCGGAGAAACAUGAAGCUCAGAGAGCUGGUUGUAAUUGAAACUUUGUAUGUUUUGGUUGAAGGAGAAACAGAACUGAUGUGGUCGUUUUUGAAGAGGAUGAUGAUUGGUUAUGGAGAUGAAAGGCGGUGACAGUGAGUUCUUAAGGGACAGGAAGUUGGGCGACGAGUUUUGUGUGUUUUUGAGGAGUUCGCUGGAUGAGAAUAGUAGCUGGAUCCGGUUCAGGGAGUGGUCAUUGGUUUCUAGGGUUGUUGGUGUUUAAACAUGGAAGAAGAUGAAGCUGGGGGUCGAAGAAGAAGACGUGAAAGGGAGGUCUGUUUGUCGAAAAUGGCUGCUACUGCAUAUUUUGGGUCCUUAAAGUUCGUUCUCCAUGUCUGCAAUGGCUGAUGCUUCAAUGGAGUUUUCCUUGCUGUCUCAACCAGGAAGACGACGAAGAGGCUACGUGAG